rnacentral:rRNA from 1 species
AAUAGACUUCUCCGCGCCUAACAGCGGUGGCUUGGGAGACUGCCGUAUUCGUCAAGCGUGUUAUGUGUGUGCUGUGUGUCGCUUCGCUCAGCGCAGUGCCUCGUUUUGCAAUUGAACUGUGUGGUGCUACUGCGCUGUGC